UACGUAGGGCGCAAGCGUUGUCCGGAAUUAUUGGGCGUAAAGAGCUCGUAGGCGGCUUGUCACGUCGAUUGUGAAAGCCCGGGGCUUAACUCCGGGUCUGCAGUCGAUACGGGCUAGCUAGAGUGUGGUAGGGGAGAUCGGAAUUCCUGGUGUAGCGGUGAAAUGCGCAGAUAUCAGGAGGAACACCGGUGGCGAAGGCGGGUCUCUGGGCCGAUACUGACGCUGAGGAGCGAAAGCGUGGGGAGCGAACAGG
rnacentral:rRNA from 1 species